GUGCCAUCAUUAUUGUACACACUGGACCAUCCUCAGUCAAUUUGCUCGUCAUGCACGCCUUCUCCAGCAACUGAACUUUAACUCAUCCCAGCAUGGGUUCAAGCAUUAAAAGCCAUUUCAGCUUUUCAUUUGGAUAAGGAACUUGAUGGAAUGUAUCUGGAGUUUGCUUGGGCCAUGCUGCCUGGACUACGAAGGCAUGGGGCUGCCUCACCUCUGCUUCAGGGAGAGAAUGGGUGAGGAAUGAAGAAUAAGGGUAAAACAGCGUAGUCUUUUUUCCAUUAUUAAUGAUUAUGGUGCAUGCAUUAAGACAUGUUCUUGUAGUAAGCCAGCACACUCUCUCUGAUGUUAUCUGGAUCAUAGAAUCACAGAAUCAUAGAAUCAUUAUGCUUAUUGGAAAAACCAAUAAGAUAGUCU
ensembl:lncRNA